rnacentral:rRNA from 1 species
UACGUAGGGUGCGAGCGUUAAUCGGAAUUACUGGGCGUAAAGCGUGCGCAGGCGGUGAUGUAAGACAGAUGUGAAAUCCCCGGGCUCAACCUGGGACCUGCAUUUGUGACUGCAUCGCUAGAGUACGGCAGAGGGGGGAUGGAAUUCCGCGUGUAGCAGUGAAAUGCGUAGAGAUCGGGAGGAACAUCAGUGGCGAAGGCGGCCCUCUGGACCAGCACUGACGCUGAGGCACGAAAGCGUGGGGAGCAAACAGG